AUUGAACGCUGGCGGCAGGCCUAACACAUGCAAGUCGAACGGUAACAGGAAGCAGCUUGCUGCUUUGCUGACGAGUGGCGGACGGGUGAGUAAUGUCUGGGAAACUGCCCGAUGGAGGGGGAUAACUACUGGAAACGGUAGCUAAUACCGCAUAACGUCGCAAGACCAAAGAGGGGGACCUUAGGGCCUCUUGCCAUCGGAUGUGCCCAGAUGGGAUUAGCUAGUAGGUGGGGUAACGGCUCACCUAGGCGACGAUCCCUAGCUGGUCUGAGAGGAUGACCAGCCACACUGGAACUGAGACACGGUCCAGACGCCUACGGGAGGCAGCAGUGGGGAAUAUUGCACAAUGGGCGCAAGCCUGAUGCAGCCAUGCCGCGUGUAUGAAGAAGGCCUUCGGGUUGUAAAGUACUUUCAGCGGGGAGGAAGGGAGUAAAGUUAAUACCUUUGCUCAUUGACGUUACCCGCAGAAGAAGCACCGGCUAACUCCGUG
rnacentral:rRNA from 1 species